rnacentral:misc_RNA from 1 species
AAGUCGUAACAAGGUUACCGUUGGUGAACCAGCGGUAGGAUCAUUACCACAAAAAUACCUUUACAAAAUCAACAACCCCUCAAAGUGGAGAUGAUUUGUUAUUUAUAACAAAGAAUCCGAGCUUUUUGUGAACUCGUAGACCCCGUUCGUCACUUGCUUUGUCUUCGGAUGAAGGGAGUGCGGAUGGACUAACCCAUAUUGCCUCUUUCUAAACAAUCGAGGCAACGUGGACAACAUAAAUAAACUACAUUUUAAACAAUCAAUAUCUGAAAACACUAUUUCAUUUUUAUUUUCUUCAAUUCAUUUUGAAAAAACAAAAACGAAUAAAACAAAACAAAAACAAAAAACAACUUUUAACGGUGGAUCUCUAGGCUCGU